AUGGAUCGGAGGGCCGGACAGGAGGUCCGAACAGGGGGAUAUGUAGGGACAGAGGACAGGACAGAAGGACAGGACAGAAAGAUCGACUUGGGGGGGGGGGGAAUGGACAGAGGGACCAGCAGGAGGACCGAACAGGAGGAUCGACAGGGGGACGGACAGGAGGACCGGGCAGGAGGGACCGUACAGGAGGUCCGCACAGAAGGAAAGGAGAGAAGGACCGGGCAGAAGGACCGGCUAGGAGUACGGACAGAAGGACAGGAGAGAAGGACUGGACAAAAGGACCGGGCAGGAAUACGGACAGAGAGACCGGACAGAGGGACCGGACGGGAGUACGGACAGAAGGACCUGACAGAGGGGCCGUCAGAAGGACAGGAGAGAAGGACAGGACAGAAGGACUGGAUAGGAGUACGGACAGAAGGACAGGAGAGAAGGACUAGGCAGAAGGAUCGGGCAGAAGGACCGGACAGAAGGAUGCGCAGCUGGACCGGACAGCAGGACAGGCCAGAAGGACAGGCAGAAGGACCGGACAGAAAAGACCGAGAUAUAAUCUAUCUCUAAGAACAGAUGCCGCUCUGUCCUGUCCUGCCCAAACCCAGCGAGGCUCUGCACCGAGGGACAGACCGCCCUCGCUUUCGGUUUCUUUUCCUCCUGGGAAGCUUAAGAGCGGACAGAGGUCGGGGCCCGCCCCCCUCCUCUCCCUCCGCGGACCCUCCUCCCCUUCCUCCUCCCACCGCCGGACCCUCAGCCCCAGCGGGGACGUCGAGGCCCGGGGGCCGCAGCGGGCCCAGGCUAGACGGCACGUGGUACUUUGGGGGGGUACAAGUUGAGCGCUUACUAUGUGCCAGCCUCACACACUACUUAGAAGCAGCAGCGUGGCCUAAUAGCUUGGGGGUCAGAGGACGUGGGUUCUAAUCCCGCCUCCACCUCUUGUCUGCUGAGUGACCUCGGACGAGUCAUUCACUUCUCUGAGCCUCAGGUACCGCAUCUGGAAAACGGGGAUGGAGACUGUGAUGACCUCGUACCUACCCCAGUAGUUAGAACAGGGCUUGCCAUAUACAAAGCACUUAAGAAAUGCCAUAACUAUUGUUAUCAUUUGUAAGACCUUGAAUUCAUUCAUUCAAUCAUUUAUUGAGCACUUCCUGCAUGCAGAGCACUGUACACCGUACUGAGCGCUUGGAAAGUACAAUACAGCAAUAAAGAGAGACAAUCCCUGCUCACAACAGGCUUACCAUAAUUAUUUAUUAUUCAUUUAUUUAUUAAGCACUGGGGUGGAGGCCUGCAGAGGGGGCUGGACACAGUCGCUGGGUCCCAUGUGGAGCUGGUAGAUUUAAUCCCCAUUUUAUGGGUGAGGGAACUCAAGCACAGAGAAGUGAAGUGACUUGUCCAAGGUCACACAGCAGACAACUGGCAAAGUGGAA
rnacentral:lncRNA from 1 species